rnacentral:rRNA from 1 species
UACGGAGGAUUCGAGCGUUAUCCGGAUUUAUUGGGUUUAAAGGGUGCGCAGGCGGGGGAUUAAGUCGGCAGUGAAAUUUUGCAGCUCAACUGUAAAAGUGCCUUCGAAACUGGUUUCCUUGAGUGUAGAUGAAGUAGGCGGAAUUUGUGGUGUAGCGGUGAAAUGCAUAGAUAUCACGAGGAACUCCGAUUGCGCAGGCAGCUUACUAAACUACUACUGACGCUCAGGCACGAAGGCGUGGGGAUCAAACAGGAUUAGAUACCCCCGUAGUCCCU